ensembl:lncRNA
CCGGGAGGCGAGCGGAGGUGGAGUCUCCGCAUGGGGAGGGAGAAGAAAGGGGAGAGAGAGAGAGAGAGAGGAGCGAAAAAACGGGGAAAGGCAGAUUCAACAGAAACAGGGGGGAGGACGGUGGAUGAUUUUCGCCGUAAAAGUUGCAUUACAACCCAUUUAAGAGUUGCGGCCGAGAGGAAUAAAACAAGAUGAUAACGCCCUACUUCCUAGAGAAUUUCUGGCGGGACACAAGAGCAUCCAGUGAUGGGGACGGAUCAGCUGUGUUUUUAACAUUCACGACACACACACACACACACACUUAGAGGAUGCAUCCAUUUGGCUUUUGACUUGACUGCAAAUCAACACACACACACACACACACACACACAUCUUCACUCGUGUCCCAGUCUCCACCUGUCCCCGCGCUCUGCUGUCUCACGCUGGAGACAUUGCUGCUCCUCCCUGGAUGUGACAUCCAGCCCUGCUUUGAAUAAUAGCUCUUCAUGAAUUGGCAGAUAAGCGCACACACACACACACACACACACACACACACACACUGUGAUUGGUCUCUGGCUGCAGCAUUUCUGCGCACAAAUUGAGUGUGCAAAUCUCAAAUGUCCAUUUCCCCUUUUUUGUCUGUGUGUGUGUGUGUGUGUGUGUGUGUAAUGUGGCCUGCUGAUGAAAGUCUGAAUGUGAGUCUGCUCAAGUGUCCCCGACGCUGGAUUACUCCCCAAGAAUUUAGGCCGCUUUCUGUAACAAAGCUUCAAUUCUUUCAUGUCACAUUCUCAUUAUCAAACGCACACAUAUUUCUGCAUCGCUUCUUAAACGCUCAAAAUAUAGAGCGACUAAAAGUUGUUAACCGCCCGUUUUCUGCUGCAGACGCUGGCGUCUGAGAGGUCAUGUUUAAUGUGGGGCCUGUUAGCCGUUAGCAUAUCAUGGGAAAAUAAGAUGGCAGCGUGAUAAGCAAACAGUGUUGAUACAGCCAACAGCCCCGGGGCGGCCUUCUUCUCCCGGCUGUUUGCAUUGCACGUGUGUGUGUGUGUCUGUGUGUGUGUGUGUGUGUGUGUGUGUGUGCGUGUGGUUCUCACAACUCCACUGUGUGCAGAUUUCACAGUCACACUCCCACAACUUAUUGUCUGACGUGCAAAAUGUCACAACAACGCCGCAAAGACUGAAGCAAGAAGAGGAGAUGGACAAUGAUGACGCACAACCCCCCCCCCCCCCCUCCCCCCGCCCCCCCCCCUCAGGUUUUGGUAAACAUUGACUGUUGUCAACACAUGCUGUGUUUAUAUUUCUGGUGAAAUGGCUCAUGUGUAACUGGUCCGGGGGUUUAUCUCAUCACCACGCGCGUGAUGUCACAACCCCGAACCCAGUGGCAGUCAAGUCAAGUCCACCCUGCCCCCAGCUGCCCCCCCCCCCACAUUUAUGGUCCACGCCGCUAACAAAGCCCGGCCUGUGCGCUGCUCCUGGACCUCUUUGGUCACGUGACCCUUUGGCAGGCGCUCUGAUGUCAUCGUGCUCGAGGCUCCCGGGUCCGAGGCCUGUUUAGUGGCCGCACGUCUUUCCAUCGCCGCUACCUGCACUCACAGCCCCCCCCCCCCCCCCCCCCCCCGUCCCCCCCACCCGGCCUCGUUUCCUGUUGAUCUGAUGUGUUGGUGGAAAUGUAUUGACGAAGACUUCCCAAAGAACGCCACACGUGCUGUGCUGUGGCGACCUUCACUGCCGCGGCAAAUGAUGGCUUUUGAUUGGCUCUUAAGAGAAAAGGGGUUUGUUCCACUCUGCAGCUCGCACAUCGAUACGUUUAAUUCAGCUCCUUUAACUCCCAAUAUGCUCGUCCUAUGUGUCCGUUGACUGAAUAUUUCCAAAGUCGGAUUGUUUGCAGAAAAAAAAUAAGUAAUUUGAAGAUGAGACGUUUCGUUUUAAAGUCAACAGACUCUUGUGAAUUGGUAAUAAACGCUCAGCGUACAGUUUCUGUAGAAGAAGAAGGCAGUAAAGCAUCCACAGAGGAGCUGGGCUCUCUCUUACUGACGCCAGUGGGUGAUCAAACUGGUCUCCAGAGGCAGAGAGAGGAUUCCAGAUGUUAGCCGAUAAGCUGCAGCGCUGUGGUUUGCUUUAUCUCUCCUUUAAGGUGUUCAGUUCAGAUUGAGCAUACUGACGGUUAUUGUUGCGUUGUGUGUUUUGUCCGUGGUGUGGCUUCCCUGCUGAGACGUGCCCCUCCCCCCCCCC